GCGCUCGUAGCUCAACUGGAUAGAGCGACAGACUUCGGAUUUGUAGGUUAUGGGUUCGAUUCCUAUCGGGCGCACCA
rnacentral:tRNA from 1 species